UGCCGAGACAAGGCUUCUCGUUUUGCAGGCUGAGCGGAGGCUGCAGCGGAGGCUCUCGUCAUCCCGAACCGGUGAGACGGUGGAAGAGGUGAGCAGUCCGGGAAUCACUAGGAGAGGCAGGGAGGCGGUGGAGUUUCUCUUCGGCUCAGAGAACUGGACAGCACGGAGCCCCGCUUUCCUCCUCAGCAAGGUGACAGCUGCCAGCGACUUGAAGGACCUUUUUCCGGAGGAGUCGCAGCGGAUUUGGCGAGGGGAGGCGACGCCGGACCCAGCCGGUAGCCUCGCGCGUGGUCGGGACGGGCGAGAGGAGAGAAGGGCUGCGGCUGUUAGUCAGCGCGCGAAGCGCAGGAGCGGCAUUGACACCCGCAAGAUGAGAAGCGAGAAGGCUUUUUCGGUGAGAGCGGCGCUGGGGUCGCGGAGUCCCCUUCUCCGGGAACGCAGCGGCACCGGAUGACUUCGUGGCAGGGUGAGGCGCGCUUGUCCGGGAGCGGUUUCACCGGCGGCGAGACGAAGGAGCCGCGAGUCCUGCGUCCGGAGGGCCGCAGGCGCCCCGGGCAUCCCGCCGGCGAGAGUCUCCGGAGCGAGGUGCAGCUUGUUUGGAGAGGAAGGUCCUUGUCCUUGGCUGAGGAGGAAGCAGAGGAGAUGGGCCAGGUGGGACUGCUCUGUGCUGUGUGCUGGAAUGGGGACGUCUAAGAAUAUCUGCGCUGAAGAGGAAUGGCUAGGCUUGGCUAGCUUGACUUGUGGUGGUGAAGUGGAUGCCUGCCUGUCUCUGACUUAAAACGACAAGAAAUCCUUGCUUACCUCCAGAAAAUCAAGAUGCGCUGCCUGGUUCUGCGCUCUGUUUUCUUCUGUUUUGUUGCUGCUGAUGUUAUUGAUCUCGGAACGCUGAAGCUGUUGGCUAUUUGGCUUUGUGUGCUCUGUAAAAAUAAAUAAAUAAAUAACGGAGAUUUAAGUCAAUAACAAAUAUUUUUAUACAGUAUGUACUGCAGAGAGCUGAGUCAGAUUUGCUUGACUUGCUGAGUGAGAGAACGCGGUAUGGUGCUAGUGUUGGUGUUGUUGCAGCCCUAUCUCUGAAUUCGAGAAAUGUUUCUAUCUGAUAGAGCUUCCUGAGCUCUGAGGAGGGUGUGCUGUCCUGAGAGCGGAGUGGGGGUGACUGCUGUGUGAGAGAAAAACUCCUUUUCAAGGUCCCUUUUCGAGAAUGAGAAAACAACCUGCUGUGCUCUGGCAGCCCUGGGCUGUUGCUGCUCCUGGCGAAGCGCGCCUGCUUUCUGACCAGUUUUUCCUUAGCUCCUGUCUGAACCUCCUGUGCCCUAACGUCAUGCUGGGGCGGGCCCUCCUCGAGUGCUGCUAUGUGCUGCUGGCUCUAGUUUAACU